rnacentral:rRNA from 1 species
AGUAACGGCGAGUGAAGCGGCAACAGCUCAAAUUUGAAAUCUGGCUCUUUCAGGGUCCGAGUUGUAAUUUGUAGAAGAUGCUUCGGGUGUGGCUCUGGUCUAAGUUCCUUGGAACAGGACGUCAUAGAGGGUGAGAAUCCCGUAUGUGACUGGCUGCCUUCGCCUAUGUGAAGCUCUUUCGACGAGUCGAGUUGUUUGGG